GUACUCGCUUCUGCGGUACGUAUACUAAAAUUGGAACGAUACAGAGAAGGUUAGCAUGGCCCCCGCGCAAGGAUGACACGCAAAAUCGUGAAGCGUUCCACAUUUUU
rnacentral:snRNA from 1 species